rnacentral:rRNA from 1 species
UACGUAGGAUGCAAGCGUUGUUCGGAAUCAUUGGGCGUAAAGCGCGUGUAGGCGGCUGACUAAGUCCGCUCUGAAAGCCCGGGGCUCAACCCCGGGAGGCGGGUGGAUACUGGUCAGCUCGAGUCCGGAAGAGGCGAGUGGAAUUCCUGGUGUAGCGGUGAAAUGCGCAGAUAUCAGGAGGAACACCGAUGGCGAAGGCAGCUCGCUGGGACGGUACUGACGCUGAGACGCGAAAGCGUGGGGAGCAAACAGG